ACGAAUAUUUUUUUGAAACAAAAUCACACAUGAGUAACAUCAAAAUCAGUGAAACUAAUUUAGAGAUCGGCUGAGCCCCGUCCCUUUUUGUGACCACGAGUUCAUCGACUUCCCAGGCUAGACCUGGGCCUAGGCCCCUAGAACCCAGGCCCUAGUCAUUGGCCCAAUAAUCCCUCAUGCCCCCAUGUAAUUUUUGGCCCAUAUGCAAAGGCCCAACACUAAGAGACCAGCACCUCACCCUGCUGACUGUCGCCGCACGGGACAAACCAGUCUGCGAGCUGCGAGCACCACCCCACCAGCGCAGCCGCCGAUCCACCGCCGAUCGGACACCAGACGUGAGCCCCACUGGGGCGUCUGCUUGUCUGGGGUCUGGCCCUUAG
rnacentral:lncRNA from 1 species